GAUUCAGUAGCUCAGUAGGCAGAGCACCUGCCUUUUAAGCAGGGUGUCGGGGGUUCGAAUCCCCCCUGAGUCACCA
rnacentral:tRNA from 1 species